UCUGGCAUAAACUGAAGAAACAGCAUCAUCUUUCAACCAACAAACAGUCUGGUAUAAACUGAAUAAGCAUCAUCAUCUCUCAACCAACAGACCGUCUGGCAUAUAUUGAAUAAGCAUCAUCAUCUUUAAACCAACAAACAGUCUGGCAUAUACCUAAUUAGCAUCAUCAUCUUUCAACCAACAACAGUCUUGCAUAUAUACUGAAUAAGCAUCAUACUCUUUCAACCAACGAGAAGUCUGGCUUAUACCGAAUUUAGCAUCAUCAUCUGUCAACCAACAAACACUCUGGCAUAUACUGAAUUAGCAUAAUCAUCUCUCUACCAACAAACAGCCUGGCUUAUACUGAAUAAGCACCAUUUCUCUUAACAUACAAUAGUCUGGCAUAUACUGAAUUAGCAUCAUCAUCUCUCAACUAACAAACAGCAUAGUGUGUACUGAAUUAGCAUCUUCAUCUCUAAACCAACUAGCAGUCUGGCAUAUAUUGAACAAGCCUCAUCAUCUCUCUACCAACAAACAGUCUGGCAUAUACUGAAAUAGCAAAAUCAUCUCUCAACCAACAAACAGUCUGGCAUAUACUGAAUUAGUAUCAUCUUUCAACCAACAAACAGUCUGACAUAUACUGAAUAAGCAUCAUCAUCUUUCAACCAGCAAACAGUCAGGCAUAUACCUAAUUAGCAUCAUCAUCUUUCAACCAACAAACAGUCUGGCAUAUACAUAAUUAGCAUCAUCAUCUUUCAACCAACAAACAGUCUGGCAUAAACUAAACAAGGAACAUUAUCUCUUAACCAAGUAACAGUCUGGCAUAUAUUCCAUUAGCAUUAUCUUCUAUACCAACAAACAGUCUGGGAUGUACUAAAUGACUAUCCUCAUGUCUCAACCAACAAACAGUCUGGUAUAUAUAAAUUCAGCAUCUUCAUCUCUCAACCAACAAACAAUCUGGUACAUACUGAAUUAACAUCAUCAUCUCUUUACGAACAAACAGUCUGGCAUAUACCGAAUUACCAGCCUGGUGGGUACUGAAUCAACAUCAUGAUCUCUUAAGCUAAAAACAGCCUAAUGUGUACUGAACUAGCAUCAUCAUAUCUCCAACUACUGACAGCAUGGUGUGAUCUGAAUCAACAUUAGCACAUCUCAUUAUUAGACAUACUUGUGUGAACUGAAUCAGCCUUCUCAUCUCUCCAUGACAGAUAACCAUGUUUAAAUUUCAUCAGCAUCAUCAUCUCUCAGCCAACAGACAAUCUAGUAUCGACUUAAUAAGCCUACACAUCUCUCCACCAACAGACAGCCUGGUCUAAACUGGAACAGCCUUUUAAUCUAAAAACUAACAGCCAGCCUGGUCUGUACGGAAUCAGCAUCCUCAUCGCUCCAUUUACAGAUAGCCUGGUGUGUACUGAUACAGACCUCCAUAUCUCGUGAUCAACAGAUAUCAUGGUUUGUACUGAAACAGCUUUUCAUCUAUCAACCAACAAACAACCUGGUGUGUUAUUAAUCAGCAUCAUCAUCCCUCCACCAACAGAAAAAACAGCUGAAGCCAACAAGAAUUGACUUUUAGGAAUGAUGUUUGUGCCAUAUGAUAAGUAACAACUACUUAAGUUUAUUUUUCCUACACUUUUAGUUGUGACCUGCAGCAGAUAUUUUAGUCAAUAUUUCACCAUUGUAAAGCCCUGCAGCUGAAGAGUCUCAGAAAAUGCUAAGUAUUUUACUGCUUUACCAUAGCUUAUAAUAUAUAUGAUUAAAGGUUUACCACAGCUUAUAUAAAAUUUUGUUUAAAGGUACUAUAAUUGACGCUUAAAUGUUGGCGUAAAAUGCAAGUUUUGUUUUAAUUAGCUUUAAGGAUUAUUGUUAAAAUAGUACAUACAAAAAAUUUGAAACCCUAUUUUUAUAUGACCAUAAAUUUUGGCGGUCUUGCUGCUGUUCAACAUUAUCGGCCACAAAUAUAGUUUCCUGACUAAAACUGAAGUAUUUGCUCAAUUGUUAAUAAUUUUAACUUAACGUAAAUGAAUGUGUGUAUCGUGAGUUUCUCUCACUGACAACACUGGAUAAUAGCUAAGUGCUAUAUGCUAAUGACUAAAAAAUUAACCUUGUUAAACUUAUAUUUUGUGACUUCAAUAACUUGUAUUUACAAGGGAAGUUACAAACAUAUGUUAAAUAAAAAUAUAGA